AACGAACGCUGGCGGCAGGCUUAACACAUGCAAGUCGAGCGCCCAGCAAUGGGAGCGGCGGACGGGUGAGUAACACGUGGGAAUAUGCCUUUCGGUACGGAACAACUCAGGGAAACUUGAGCUAAUGCCGUAUGCGCCCUUACGGGGAAAGAUUUAUCGCCGAAAGAUUAGCCCGCGUCUGAUUAGCUAGUUGGUGAGGUAAUGGCUCACCAAGGCGACGAUCAGUAGCUGGUUUGAGAGAACGACAGCCACACUGGGACUGAGACACGGCCCAGACUCCUACGGGAGGCAGCAGUGGGGAAUCUUGGACAAUGGAGGAAACUCUGAUCCAGCCAUGCCGCGUGAGUGAUGAAGGCCUUCGGGUUGUAAAACUCUUUCGGCGGGGACGAUAAUGACGGUACCCGCAGAAGAAGCUCCGGCUAACUUCGUGCCAGCAGCCGCCGUAAUAC
rnacentral:rRNA from 1 species